rnacentral:lncRNA from 1 species
GUCGACGACGACUUCAGUUCAAGAAGGGGAGGAUGAUUAGGACACUACGAGUACAUCUACACCAGCAGCACCUCAGGCGCCUCCAGUUGCUACUCUACCUCAGGCGCCUACAGUUGAUCAUCCAGUUGGGCCAAUCACUCGGGCCCGUGCGAGAGAAUUAAACUUCAUCAUGCUGUUAAGGAAUGAAGGCCCAGCGGAAUAAGAAGAUGGCCCAACAGGGCAGCCCAGGUGGGGCGCCUAGGGUUGG